rnacentral:rRNA from 1 species
GAUGAACGCUAGCGGCAGGCUUAAUACAUGCAAGUCGAGGGGCAGCGCGGGUAGCAAUACCUGGCGGCGACCGGCAAACGGGUGCGGAACACGUACGCAACCUUCCCAUAACUGGUGAAUAGCCUUUCGAAAGAGAGAUUAAUACACCGUAACAUAACGAAGAGGCAUCUCUUUGUUAUUAUAGGCUUCGGCCGGUUUUGGAUGGGCGUGCGCCUGAUUAGGUAGUUGGCGGGGUAACGGCCCACCAAGCCUGCGAUCAGUAACUGGUGUGAGAGCACGACCAGUCACACGGGCACUGAGACACGGGCCCGACUCCUACGGGAGGCAGCAGUAAGGAAUAUUGGUCAAUGGACGCAAGUCUGAACCAGCCAUGCCGCGUGAGGGAUGAAGGUCCUCUGGAUUGUAAACUUCUUUAUCUGGGACGAAAAAAGCUCUUUCUAGAGCACUUGACGGUACCAGAGGAAUAAGCACCGGCUAACUCCGUGCCAGCAGCCGCGGUAACUA